ACAUAGAAAGAAGAGAUGGCAUGCAUGGAGACGUGCGCCCCUUCUUUGCAUACAUGAAAAUAAAAGGGUGCUAAUAGUUGGCGCCCCACCUUAUCUGAGACUGUCUCUCCUUUUGAUUCAUCCUUCCUAUUUGAAUUUGAUUUAAAAGGGAAGAAAAUCAGAUCUUAUCCUUAUCUGAAAAAAAAACCAUGCCUUAUAUUUUUGUGCGACAAAAAUAUUGGAGAAAAGUGGCGUGC
rnacentral:lncRNA from 1 species